rnacentral:rRNA from 1 species
AUUGAACGCUGGCGGAAUGCUUUACACAUGCAAGUCGAGCGGCAGCGCGGCCUUCGGGCUGGCGGCGAGCGGCGAACGGGUGAGUAAUGCAUCGGAACAUGCCCAGUCGUGGGGGAUAACACUUCGAAAGAAGUGCUAAUACCGCAUACGUCCUGAGGGGGAAAGCGGGGGAUCGCAAGACCUCGCGCGAUUGGAGUGGCCGAUGUCAGAUUAGCUAGUUGGUGGGGUAAAGGCCUACCAAGGCGACGAUCUGUAGCUGGUCUGAGAGGAUGAUCAGCCACACUGGAACUGAGACACGGCCCAGACUCCUACGGGAGGCAGCAGUGGGGAAUUUUGGACAAUGGGGGCAACCCUGAUCCAGCCAUGCCGCGUGAGUGAAGAAGGCCUUCGGGUUGUAAAGCUCUUUCGGCAGGGACGAAACGGUGGGCUCUAACAUAGUCCGCUAAUGACGGUACCUGAAGAAGAAGCACCGGCUAACUACGUG